rnacentral:rRNA from 1 species
ACAUUAAGGCUGAGACUUGAUGCAUACCCGUUGUGGGGAAUUCAGUGAUCCUAUGCUGCCGAGAAAAGCCUCUAGUGAGUUCAUACACGGCCCGUACCCCAAACCGACACAGGUGAUCAGGUAGAGAAUACCAAGGCGAUCGAGAGAACUGUGGUUAAGGAACUCGGCAAAAUGCCCCCGUAACUUCGGGAGAAGGGGGACCAUGCCCGGUGAACAUCUUCACGGUGGGAGCUGGGUGUGGUCGCAGAGACCAGAGAGAAGCGACUGUUUACUAAAAACACAGGUCCGUGCGAAGACGUAAGUCGAUGUAUACGGACUGACGCCUGCCCGGUGCUGGAAGGUUAAGAGGACCGGUUAGCCGUAAGGCGAAGCUGAGAAUUUAAGCCCCAGUAAACGGCGGUGGUAACUAUAACCAUCCUAGGGUAGCGAAAUUCCUUGUCGGGUAAGUUCCGACCUGCACGAAUGGCGUAACGACUUCUCUGCUGUCUCGACCACAGACUCGGCGAAAUUGCACUACGAGUAAAGAUGCUCGUUACGCGCGGCAGGACGAAAAGACCCCGGGACCUUUACUAUAGCUUGGUAUUGGCGUUCGAUUCGGUUUGUGUAGGAUAGGUGGGAGACUGUGAAGCAUGCACGCCAGUGUGUGUGGAGUCGUUGUUGAAAUACCACUCUGAUCGUAUUGGACGUCUAACCUCGGCCCAUGAUCUGGGUUAGGGACAGUGCCUGGUGGGUAGUUUAACUGGGGCGGUUGCCUCCUAAAGAGUAACGGAGGCGCCCAAAGGUUCCCUCAGCCUGGAUGGCAAUCAGGUGUUGAGUGCAAGUGCACAAGGGAGCUUGACUGUGAGACUGACACGUCGAGCAGGGACGAAAGUCGGGACUAGUGAUCCGGCACCGGCAAGUGGAAGCGGUGUCGCUCAACGGAUAAAAGGUACCCCGGGGAUAACAGGCUGAUCUUCCCCAAGAGUCCAUAUCGACGGGAUGGUUUGGCACCUCGAUGUCGGCUCGUCGCAUCCUGGGGCUGGAGUAGGUCCCAAGGGUUGGGCUGUUCGCCCAUUAAAGCGGCACGCGAGCUGGGUUUAGAACGUCGUGAGACAGUUCGGUCUCUAUCCGCCGCGCGCGUAAGAAACUUGAGGAGGGCUGUCCCUAGUACGAGAGGACCGGGACGGACGAACCUCUGGUGUGCCAGUUGUUCCACCAGGAGCAUGGCUGGUUAGCUACGUUCGGAAGGGAUAACCGCUGAAAGCAUCUAAGCGGGAAGCCUGUUCCAAGAUGAGGUUUCUCACCACCUUGCGUGGUUAAGGCCCCCUACAGACCAUGGGGUUAAUAGGCCGGAACUGGAAGCGCAGCAAUGCGUGGAGGUGACCGGUACUAAUAGGCCGAGGGCUUACACA